ACCUACGGGACGCAGCAGUGGGGAAUAUUGCACAAUGGGGGAAACCCUGAUGCAGCGACGCCGCGUGAGUGAAGAAGUAUUUCGGUAUGUAAAGCUCUAUCAGCAGGGAAGAAACCCACCCUUUGGGGUGGCUGACGGUACCUGACUAAGAAGCCCCGGCUAACUACGUGCCAGCAGCCGCGGUAAUACGGAGGAUGCGAGCGUUAUCCGGAUUUAUUGGGUUUAAAAGGUGCGCAGGCGGCCUGUUAAGUCAGCGGUAAAAGCCCGGGGCUCAACCCCGGCGAGCCGUUGAAACUGGCGGGCUG
rnacentral:rRNA from 1 species